UACGUAGGUGGCAAGCGUUGUCCGGAAUUAUUGGGCGUAAAGCGCGCGCAGGCGGUCCUCUAAGUCUGAUGUGAAAGCCCACGGCUCAACCGUGGAGGGUCAUUGGAAACUGGGGGACUUGAGUGCAGAAGAGGAAAGCGGAAUUCCACGUGUAGCGGUGAAAUGCGUAGAGAUGUGGAGGAACACCAGUGGCGAAGGCGGCUUUCUGGUCUGUAACUGACGCUGAGGCGCGAAAGCGUGGGGAGCAAACAGG
rnacentral:rRNA from 1 species